UUGGCUGAUAUUUCUUGAUAUUUUUUUGGGUUGUUAUAAUUAUUUGUUAUAAAAAGUUCUUGGCAUUGGUUCAAAUCGUUCAAGAUUAGGACCAGGCAAUCAUAACAAUUUUUUUUCCCAGGAGUGCAUUCCAAACAGUGUUUCGCCUAUUUCAACUGGUGUGUUAUUGCUUAUAUCUUUUAUAAUGAACAUCACUCACACACACACACAAACACACACACAUAUUCUAUUGUUCCUAAAUUUAUUUUGGUUUUUUUAGAUCUUACCAAUGGUUGUAAUUAUACAAGACAUAAUUAUUGGGUUCUUAUUGGGUUGUCAUAAUUAUUUGGUUUUUGUAGUUCUUGCUAAUGGUUCUAAUCCUUCAAGAUUGGGAUCGAGUAAUCCUGUCAACAGUGAACUUAAUUUUCAGCUUCUCGCAUCCCGUAUAAAACUCGACUUUAAACGAUGUGUUUGUGUAUAAGAUUCACAUUUAGCUCUACACUAUUUCAUUUUUGAAAUUCUAAUCUUUAAAAUAAAUAAGCUAUCAGCAGCUUUAUUCUGACUUUGUAUGUGUAGUGCUAAAUGAUUUAGACUUUAUCAGGGCACCCGUGAGAUGACUGGUUUUGUUAAUAUAAAAAAGAAAUCAGGUAAGGCAUAACAGUACAUAAAUAAGAAAGUAUCACCCCGAGUGUUGGUAAUCGGGUACCUAAUGCAGGAGCCUCUAUUCCUUUAGUAUCGGCAAUAGAAUGAAGCUUAUGCUUCUGACUGACCUACUACGACGAGGUAGGCCAACUAUAUUUAGACUAUGUUUCUUCAGUGACCUGAUAAUUGGUUCCAUAGCCUGCUCAUUUACUGCAAAAGAAACAUCAACAUUGUCUUCAUUUCUUUUAUGUGGCAUUUUUAUCUUUGAACCGUUCAAAUAUAGAUUAGUGUGCAAGUUGGUUUAAGACUUUAAGGUACAAUCCUGAUAAAUUAUUUAUUCAUUGUACUUUACAACACGUGCAUCUGCUUUGACGACCUUAUUUUGUGUGGAUUAUAGGUUCCAAAAAUCAAACUCCUUUAAUCAUUAACAGGCAGGAUCCGUUGAAAGACAUUGUUUCAGGAUAAAAGUCAUGUCCCACGCAUAACUUAUCUGGAGCUGCUAAUAGAUGUGUUCCUGGAAAAAAAGCUUCUCAUUCGGGUGAAAAUAAUGAUCCCAAUAUCAUUCAGGUUUUCACUAGACGAACUGAUUUAUGCAUAUCAACACCGGUUCAUGAGUUGGAGUAUCAUGAUAUCAGUGAGGUUGAUUUAUUUGGCUAUAUAUUUACAUAUUUAUAGUCAAUUUGUUAUUAAUAUUAUCUGAUGGAUUUUGUGUUGCUCUUUCCUGUGCAGUUAUUUACAUAAAUCUUGCCUAUGUAAUUUCUUAGUACACGUAUGUUGUCCUUGAUAUUGUCAGCCAAGACCCCAAAGCUGCAACCUGAAAUCAACUGUUGCAUACUCAAUAUAUGCUAAUAAUAAUGGUACACCUGUUCAUUAUUAAUCCCGAAGUCAUUAUUGAUGUGUGACUCAUUAUAAAGCGCAAAGAUCGUGGACCAAGUACUAAAAAUCAACUUCAGAAACUUGCAUCUGCCCAUGAUUAUGUAGUAAAAGUUUUAUAGUUACAUAUGUUGUUACACCAUCCUGAUUACUGGAUGACACAUUUUUCUAUUCCAGGCACGUGUUCUAUUAAUCAUGUUCUAUCAAUCAGGAUGGCAAUACAGCUCGGUGCAUUGGUAUAACAGUUAGGUGAUAAAUAUUAUAUCUCCAUAGUUAAUGAGUUGCUCUUUGCUCAUGUUCCCUUUGCUCCCGAGUUGCUCUUUCUCAAGCCAUAUAGUUUCACAACAGUGAAGAAUAGUUAUCGAGUUUGGUAUGCUUGGGAGGACAGUCUCCUUGCUAUAUAAUUCAGUUCGGGGACCGGGGUAUCAGGUUCUUAUAUGAAAAACCUUGAGUUAUUUCCAAGAAAAGAGCAGCACAAUGUAGCAUAACGACAUUUGAUAGAUUUAUAUCAAUGUUUACUCUAUAACAAAAUUUAGCAGCCAGCUCAAAUGCCUCUGCUCCACCUGGAACUAUGCUUCAGUGAUCAUAAUUCAGAUUUUGGUUAAUUGUCUUUCCAAAGUUUUGUUGUCACUGAUGGCAUAUAAUAUAUACCUUUAAUAUUGCGAGAAAGAAGUAUUUCUAUUUUGCGCUAUUUUGGUUAAUACUUUUACGUGUAUCCAUAUUAUCACAACCUAAAAUAGAUGAAAGGGCCCUGAUGAAAACCAAGCAUCAGGCAACAACAGAAUCUGUAGGGAUUACGGACGAUUUAAAGCACUAUUGAAGAUAGAGCUAAACUUCUUGAUGCAAAGUUGCCUUGGUAAUUCAAAUAUAUAUUAUAUAAACUAAUUGACUGCGAUGUUAUGUAUCAACUGAAACUUUGGUCAGACAAGACCAUCUUUAGAACAUUCUGGUGAGUGUUUUAGAUACUUUUCAGUUUGCUAAAAUGUACUAACAUUGGGCUAAACAAGAUUAUUCCAAUUCUAAGAUUUCAGUUACUCA